rnacentral:rRNA from 1 species
GUGGGGAAUCUUGCGCAAUGGGCGAAAGCCUGACGCAGCCAUGCCGCGUGAAUGAUGAAGGUCUUAGGAUUGUAAAAUUCUUUCACCGGGGACGAUAAUGACGGUACCCGGAGAAGAAGCCCCGGCUAACUUCGUGCCAGCAGCCGCGGUAAUACGAAGGGGGCUAGCGUUGCUCGGAAUUACUGGGCGUAAAGGGCGCGUAGGCGGACAGUUUAGUCAGAGGUGAAAGCCCAGGGCUCAACCUUGGAAUUGCCUGUGAUACUGGCUGUCUUGAGUACGGCGGGGGUGAGUGGAACUCCGAGUGUAGAGGUGAAAUUCGUAGAUAUUCGGAAGAACACCAGUGGCGAAGGCGACUCACUGGCGCGUUACUGACGCUGAGGCGCGAAAGCGUGGGGAGCAAACAGGAUUAGAAACCCCUGUAGUCC